rnacentral:misc_RNA from 1 species
AGAGUUAAAUAGUACGUGAAAUUGUUGAAAGGGAAACGAUUGAAGUCAGUCAUGCUAGUGAAAAAUCAGUUUGACGGGUUUUGAGUUCGGGAGUAGAGGCAGGGUCAAACCGUUUCUCUUUUGGACUUGGGAUUUGUUAGAUGUACUUUUUCUUUGGCAGGUCAGCGUCGAUUUCGGAGGUUGUAAAAUACUUAAAAUACUUGAGGAAAAGUAGCUCUGCUUCGGGAGAGUAUUAUAGACCGUGGGGGAUGCAGCCUGCGGGAUCGAGGAUUGCAGCAAAUGCAAAUUUCGGCCCAUAGCCGACUUUGGCUUGUCGCCUGAUCUCUGGAUGUUACCUUGCUUGUGACAACAUUCUUGCCACUGGUGAGUACUAAUGCCCACUAGGUUAGAGCGAUCAAAAAUUUUGCUAAGGAUGCUGACGUAAUGGCUUUAAACGACC